rnacentral:rRNA from 1 species
GCCGGCAGCCAUAUCACCCUGCAGCCCAAGACUGGUUGCCCACUGAAGCUAAGCGGGGCUGAGCCUGGUCAGUACCUGGAUGGGAGACCUCCUCAGAAAACUAGGUUGCUGCUGGAA